AUGUUCUUCUUUCCUGCUAGGUCUUUUCUUGCCUAUUUUCUUAGCGGAAGAAUGCUCUCCUCUUCCCUAUGGCUGGGUCUCCACGUAGUGGGCAGAUCUAGACUGUCCACGGAGCACGCCGACCAUCCUUUCUUCUCAUCUUAUAUUCCUGCCUUCCUCUUUCCAUCUCUUCCUCCUGAGUCCAAGAAAGAAGACAAGAUUAUGGGGGAAGCACAUAAUACACUUCAUAAUGAAACCAUGGGACCCACUCCUUUGUACCUAUUAACAAAUGAAUAUAUUUAUUUUGAUGCUGCUAUUGUCUAUGUACAGACAGAAGAUCUGACCAAUAGGACGCGAUGGUGGUAUGACGGGGUUUCUGACCGUAACACCAUCAGAAUACCAUCAAAACAACAUUCUGAUUCUCAGCUGUCACCAUUGGCUUUUUUUCUCUCUUUCCCUCCCCAGCUUUAUUGUGGUAUGACUGACAAAUAAAAAUGUAUACAGUUAAGAUAUAUGAUGUGAUGUUUUGAUAUACAUAUACAUUGUGAAAUAAUUACCAUGGGUAAGCUAAUUAGCCUAUUUGGCACCUUUUUUUGGUGUGUGGUAGGAAUAUUUAAGAUAUAGUCCAUUAGCAAAUUUCAGGUAUACAGUAUAUUAACUAUUAGCUAUAGUCACCAUGGUGUACAUUAGGUUUUCAUCAUUGACUUUCUAAGAGUCAAAUUCAAUGAUUUCAUAUGAGUUUUGAUUCUCUCUGAUCUCUGCGUAAUACAUUUGAUUCUCUUAGCCAGUCCCUCCUUCCUGAAAUGCUUUACUUGGCUUUUUAGGCUUUUUAUGCUCAAUUACUUUACUAGUUACUUACUGUAACUCAAAUCUUUUGGUUUUAUUGCCCAGGAUUUAUUUGCUGGUCUUCAGGUAAAAGAUUUCUUAUGAGAACCCCUACAAUCUCAGCUCAUCAGAUUUACUUCUGCUAACAGCUCAAGAUGUGGGCACUGAUUGGCCUGCAGAUAUGAGUGAAGUAGGAAAAUGGGAGCUUGGAGCUUGCCGUAGCUAUUUGGCUACCACAUGGAAUUUGAGAGUGGAGCCUAAGUGUCAAGAAGCAGAGUGGAGAGAUGGAGCUCUUGGUGACAUACGGGCCUAUUAUAAACAUUUCAGAGAGAAGAGCCAAUAGAUCCUCCUUCUCCCCCAGGAUUUUGACUUAAACCGGUUUGAUUUAGGUUUUCUUCCUUUUACAAUCUAAACAACACUAAAACAGCCUGUGUUUUACUGUCCAUAGAGAAAAUUCUAGAAAGAUACAUUUCAAAGUGAUAGGUGUGCUUAUCUCUGGAGAAAGGGGACUGUCAUGAUGGGAGAGUUGUUUUGAUGGUAUUCUGGUGGUAUUAUGCUCAAAAAACCCUCUCUCAUUUCCCUUUUCUACAGUGGAUACUUAGUGUUCCUGGAGGUUGUAAAACAAAUAAAACAUGUACUUAAAACUUGGGCUUUCGAACU
rnacentral:lncRNA from 1 species